UACGGGGGGGGCAAGCGUUGUUCGGAAUUACUGGGCGUAAAGGGCUCGUAGGCGGCCAACUAAGUCGGAUGUGAAAUCCCUCAGCUUAACUGGGGAACUGCGUCCGAUACUGGAUGGCUUGGAUUUGGGAGAGGGAUGCGGAAUUCCAGGUGUAGCGGUGAAAUGCGUAGAUAUCAGGAGGAACACCGGUGGCGAAGGCGGCUUGCUGGGCCAGUUCUGACGCUGAGGAGCGAAAGCGUGGGGAGCGAACAGG
rnacentral:rRNA from 1 species